CCUACGGGUGGCAGCAGUCGAGAAUCAUUCACAAUGGGGGAAACCCUGAUGGUGCGACGCCGCGUGGGGGAAUGAAGGUCUUCGGAUUGUAAACCCCUGUCAUGUGGGAGCAAAUGAAAAAGAGAGUACCACAAGAGGAAGAGACGGCUAACUCGGUGCCAGCAGCCGCGGUAAUACAGAGGACUCAAGCGUUGUCCGGAAUCACUGGGCGUAAAGGGUGCGUAGGCUGUUUGGUAGGUCGGGUGUGAAAGGCGGGGGCUCAACCGGCGGACGGCACAUGAUACUGCGCGACUAGAGAAAUGGAGGGGGAACCGGAAUGCUCGGUGUAGCAGUGAAAUGCGUAGAUAUCG
rnacentral:rRNA from 1 species